UUUUUUCUAAUUUCAUUUCUCUGAGCCAUGGAUAAGGUGAUCCAAUGCCAAGUGAAAGAGACAUUAGGGAGAAAAACUGAAGCGUUGAGCUUAUAGAUGACCAUCCAUCCUCUAGAACCAUCCCUGCCAUUAACUGCAAAAAUGAUAGAGUUCAAGAGUGAGAGAUUACAGAUAGGAGUACAACAGUAAAUAGUUCGGUAAUAUCUAAUAUGUCAAUGACUACAUACUUUUGUUAGACAAAAAUCUAUACGAAAAAUAGAUGAUAUUAAAAUAAAAUUCGUGAAAAUACAUUGUAUACCUUCUAUGUAAGAACCUUGUAAAAUUAACAUGCCAAAAUUGUUACCCAUUUUUGAUUUUCAAUCUCCAAUUAGACAACCAACUUCGACCCUCAAUAAUAAUCUAUAAAAUCACAAAUACGACAUCACACAGAUAUACUACAAAUAAAGAAACAAAAUCUGAAAAAAUGAAAUAUUUAUUAAUUAUAGAAAUCACGAAAGUUCAUAUGACAACAAAAGACAACUCAUAAUUUGUAGCAAAUCUAUCACUUAAUAUUGAUUUAUUAUAUAAACAAACAUAAAAUAUGCAAACUCAAUUAACACUUUAUGCAAACAGAUGGCGUGCAAACUGUAAAUAACAAAUGGAGUCAGACAACACUAAUUGGAGCAAACAACAGAAUCACAACAAAAUCGCUUAANCAAAAUUCCUCUGACAACGAAGUAGGAUAGAGUCUUACAUAUUUCUUCCCAACAAUCUGUAAACCAAGAAGCGCAUAAAUACCACAAACACAUAAAUAUACGACUUUAGUCUAAUAUGUCUCGGAUUCAAUCUCAGAAGCCUACUCAAGUACUUUACUGUAUGCUAAUAUGAAAAUGAUUAGAUUAAAUAAACUACAUUAGUAGAUUAACAAUCGUUUUCAUUACAGAUGUGUAUUGCAAUGCUUCAUAAUCAGUCCAAUGAUAUAAACAUGAGAUGGAUCAGAUAUAAACCUAUUUUUUCUAAUUUCAUUUCUCUGAGCCAUGGAUAAGGUGAUCCAAUGCCAAGUGAAAGAGACAUUAGGGAGAAAAACUGAAGCGUUGAGCUUAUAGAUGACCAUCCAUCCUCUAGAACCAUCCCUGCCAUUAACUGCAAAAAUGAUAGAGUUCAAGAGUGAGAGAUUACAGAUAGGAGUACAACAGUAAAUAGUUCGGUAAUAUCUAAUAUGUCAAUGACUACAUACUUUUGUUAGACAAAAAUCUAUACGAAAAAUAGAUGAUAUUAAAAUAAAAUUCGUGAAAAUACAUUGUAUACCUUCUAUGUA
rnacentral:lncRNA from 1 species